rnacentral:rRNA from 1 species
GACGAACGCUGUCGGCGUGCUUAACACAUGCAAGUCGAACGGAAAGGCCCUGCUUUUGUGGGGUGCUCGAGUGGCGAACGGGUGAGUAACACGUGAGUAACCUGCCCUUGACUUUGGGAUAACUUCAGGAAACUGGGGCUAAUACCGGAUAGGAGCUCCUGCUGCAUGGUGGGGGUUGGAAAGUUUCGGCGGUUGGGGAUGGACUCGCGGCUUAUCAGCUUGUUGGUGGGGUAGUGGCUUACCAAGGCUUUGACGGGUAGCCGGCCUGAGAGGGUGACCGGCCACAUUGGGACUGAGGUACGGCCCAGACUCCUACGGGAGGCAGCAGUGGGGAAUAUUGCACAAUGGGCGGAAGCCUGAUGCAGCAACGCCGCGUGCGGGAUGACGGCCUUCGGGUUGUAAACCGCUUUCGCCUGUGACGAAGCGUGAGUGACGGUAAUGGGUAAAGAAGCACCGGCUAACUACGUGCCAGCAGCCGCGGUGAUACGUAGGGUGCGAGCGUUGUCCGGAUUUAUUGGGCGUAAAGGGCUCGUAGGUGGUUGAUCGCGUCGGAAGUGUAAUCUUGGGGCUUAACCCUGAGCGUGCUUUCGAUACGGGUUGACUUGAGGAAGGUAGGGGAGAAUGGAAUUCCUGGUGGAGCGGUGGAAUGCGCAGAUAUCAGGAGGAACACCAGUGGCGAAGGCGGUUCUCUGGGCCUUUCCUGACGCUGAGGAGCGAAAGCGUGGGGAGCGAACAGGCUUAGAUACCCUGGUAGUCCACGCUGUAAACGGUGGGUACUAGGUGUGGGGUCCAUUCCACGGGUUCCGUGCCGUAGCUAACGCUUUAAGUACCCCGCCUGGGGAGUACGGCCGCAAGGCUAAAACUCAAAGGAAUUGACGGGGCCCCGCACAAGCGGCGGAGCAUGCGGAUUAAUUCGAUGCAACGCGUAGAACCUUACCUGGGUUUGACAUGGAUCGGGAGUGCUCAGCGAUGGGUGUGCCUCUUUUGGGGUCGGUUCACAGGUGGUGCAUGGCUGUCGUCAGCUCGUGUCGUGAGAUGUUGGGUUAAGUCCCGCAACGAGCGCAACCCUUGUUCACUGUUGCCAGCACGUUAUGGUGGGGACUCAGUGGAGACCGCCGGGGUCAACUCGGAGGAAGGUGGGGAUGACGUCAAGUCAUCAUGCCCCUUAUGUCCAGGGCUUCACGCAUGCUACAAUGGCUGGUACAGAGAGUGGCGAGCCUGUGAGGGUGAGCGAAUCUCGGAAAGCCGGUCUCAGUUCGGAUUGGGGUCUGCAACUCGACCUCAUGAAGUCGGAGUCGCUAGUAAUCGCAGAUCAGCAACGCUGCGGUGAAUACGUUCCCGGG